AAAUUUGUUGAUAAAAAGUUAGUGCCACCGGCGGGUUUCGAACCCCGGACUUGCUGAACAUCAAUCCGAAACGCUACCAACUAUGCCACGAACGCCGCUGCAAUCACAUCGUUUCGUUACGGUAAUCGUGUCGCCUCAAGAGAAGACAUUAACCACUAGAGAUAUGACGUCACUACACCUUUAGCCUUAGUCCCUUCCGUGUGCCCAUUCCUGAUCAAACCAAUUUGUGUCCAAUGUAAACAAAAACACUCAAGAGUCAAGACUCAAUCACUCAAUGUUAGUUGUUUGUUAGUUUUGUUUACUGUUCGUUAAAUGAAAUUUUAAGUUUCACCAUCGACUAUACGUUUUACUGAUGAACUGGUGGAUGAUUGUACUAUGUUAUGGUGUUGGCAAACAUUUUCCUUUUUAAAGAUUCCUUGAAGGUGGCUCAAUAAAAUGCUAGGCAUCAAAAGUAACAUCUGAUCUUAAUUUAAUUACCUUAAUUACCUCCUUCGUCACCAAGACCAGCUAUGCCGGAUAGGUUGUGUCAAUACUAUUUACAUAUAUUACUAAAAACAAAACUUUUCUCUUUAGAUAAACUUUUAUGUCAUGGCGGUGGAUACACCCAUACUUUCAAAAAAAUCUUUCAGGCUAUAAUAUGGCCUAUCUUUUAGCCAUGUCUUCAGGGCAGUGCUAAACUUAGGAGCUUCCAGGUUCUUCAGUGUUUGGGGUAGACUAUUGUAAAUCCUGAGUGCCAUGGUCGGGUAUGAAUUUUUUGUUUUUGAGAGUCUGCAGAAAGGGAUGUCUAUUUCAUUGUUACGCCUGGUUUGAUGUGCAUGUAUGGUACUUCUUGUAGGGAAAUUUAAUAGGUUGUCUUUAACAUGGACGGAACACAGAAGGAUGUAUUGGUUAUAGACUGUUAGGACCUUUGUUUUCAUGAAGAGCGGCUUACAGUGAUCCAGUCUCUCACUAAAAGUAAUUACACAAAUUGCCCUCUUCUGGAGUAUGAGGAUAUCCUCACAAGCAGGCGCGUGUCCCCAUAGCAUUAGACCAUAGCUCAAUACACUAUGGAAGAGAGCGUGGUAUAUCACCAGCAAAUAGUGUGGACUUAUCAUAUGGGUGAGCUUUCUAAGUAGGUGUACAACUCUUGAUAGCCUUGUGCUGACCGCGUCUAUAUGAUUGGUCCAUGUAAGUUUUUGGUCUAUUUUAAAGCCAAGGAGAGAGACCACGCUAUUUUCUUGGACAUGCUUAGCUAAGGUGCAGACCAUCGCUUGUGUUUUGUCCUCAUUUAGUUUUAGUUUAUUGGCUGCAAACCAUUGUUUGGCUUCAUCAAACAGGACUUCCGCUGCAUCAAUCGCAAGGGCAGGGGUAGCACCAAACGAGAAGAUGGUGGUGUCGUCAGCAAAUCUGAGCGCGGUGCCAUGGAGCUCCAAAUCGUUAAUGGCCACCAGGAAAAGUGCAGGCCCUAAAACUGAACCCUGCGGAACGCCUUGAUUUAGCUCUGGUUCAAGAAGAAACGGGUGUUAAAUGCUGAUGUUUGUUUUAAAUCAAUAUUACUUGGUAAGAACAGUUAAGACUAUUUUGUGAUCAUAUCCAUGGUUUUAAAGAUUAAAAUGUGUGUAAUAAUGAUAAGUCAACUUUAGUCUCUUGCUGGAUCCCGUUUGGCUUAGCCAAUCAAAUCAACACGGUCAGAGCCACGUCACAGAGCCGGUCAGAGCCAAUCAGCUGUUAGCUUGCUGAAGCAUCUGACAGUCGAGGCUUUACUAUAGUUUAAUGAUAGUUGGUUUACAAGUAGCCUAUAUAAACUUACCAACAUACGAAAGUAUUUGGGAAAAAUUAAAUCAUGUUCAGCCCAGCUAGAGAAGAUUUUAUUUUAUAAUUUUAAUAAAAUUGUAGGCUAUUGCAAAGCUAUCCUCUUAACACUUCAGGUAGUCACAUUCAAAAAUAUGUAGCCUAGGCUUAUAGAGGAUCAAAGUAAAUGUUUACCUAAAUUUGUUAAUGUCAACAGAUUUUUUAGAUUUCUAUUUGACUUUAUGAUCCUAAUCAUUAUUCAACCUAUCACUAACAAAUUUGUGUUAUUAUUAUGUUUAGACUCAUGCAUCUUCGGCUAAAGCGACAGACUCUAAAUUAGAGGCAGUUAAUCAAUGACUGGCUCGGACAAGCUAAAUCAAGAGGUCUGAGCCAAAUACAAUGAACAAAUGGGACAAUAUUCCUGGUACUGGAGCCAAGCAACACCCGAUACUUCAAGACACAAACAAAGACCAAGAAUAAUGUUUUUAAAUUUAAAGUUUUUACCCUUUUACUUUACAAAAUUAACACCUAAAUUUUUAAAGCUAGCUUUGUUAAAUAGAUAUGUGUGUUUUAUAUACAAAGAAUUAUAUGUGGGCCUAUUUUACGAGUAAAACUAUA